AGCUCCGAGGUGUUUGUCACAGCAGAUUGCAAAUCUUCAGGAGCCGGCUAGUUGCCGGCCGGGGCUU
rnacentral:tRNA from 2 species